rnacentral:lncRNA from 1 species
GUGGUGUUGUGGUGUUGCUACACCUCCCCAGGGUUUGGGACUAGCAGUACUUUGUGGUGUUGCUACACCUUCCCAGGGUUUGGGACUAGCAGUACUUUGUGGUGUUGUUACACCUUCCCAGGGUUUGGGACUAGCAGUACUUUGUGAUGUUGAGCAGACACUCCUAUUGAGGAUUGAGAAUAGAGGUGGGUACCAACAAAUCUGAGAGAUGAAUCAAACAUGUGAUUAUUAAAUGACAAACUAUGCUGCUCUACCAAGCAAACGGCAGUAACUGCUCAUAGUGUGGAACUGAGAAAAAUAGCCUUUAUUUACCUUGGUUUCACAGUAACUUUAUGCAGUUACUGCUAACAUGACCCCCAUUUUCUCCUGAACACAAUACAAUAGAGUCAGGAUAUUUGUCCACAUGAUUAAUGUAGCAAAAGAAAUGACAUUAACUAA